AAGGACGAACGCUGGCGGCGUGCUUACACAGUGCAAGUCGAACGGAGCGCAGCAAUGCGCUUAGUGGCGGACGGGUGAGUAACGCGUGAGCAAUCUGCCUUGUACAACGGGAUAACACAGAGAAAUUUGUGCUAAUACGGUAUAAGACCACAGUGGGGCAUCCCACAGGGGUAAAAGAAAUUCGGUAUAAGAGGAGCUCGCGUCCCAUUAGCUAGUUGGUGAGGUAACGGCCCACCAAGGCGACGAUGGGUAGCCGAUCUGAGAGGAUGAACGGCCACACUGGAACUGAGACACGGUCCAGACUCCUACGGGAGGCAGCAGUGGGGAAUAUUGGGCAAUGGAAGGGAAACUCUGACCCAGCAACGCCGCGUGAAUGAAGAAGGUCUUCGGAUUGUAAAGUUCUUUAAUUGGUGACGAAAAAAUGACGGUAGCCAAAGAAUAAGCCACGACUAACUACGUGCCAGCCGCCGC
rnacentral:rRNA from 1 species